UGGGGAAUAUUGGACAAUGGGCGAAAGCCUGACGCAGCGACGCCGCGUGAGGGAAGAAGGUCUUCGGAUUGUAAACCUCUGUCGAGAGGGAAGAAACAGCCCGGUGCUAAUAUCACCGGGCCUUGACGGUACCUCUAAAGGAAGCACCGGCUAACUCCGUGCCAGCAGCCGCGGUAAUACGGAGGGUGCAAGCGUUGCUCGGAAUUACUGGGCGUAGAGCGCGUGUAGGCGGUCAUAGUAGUCUGGUGUGAAAUCCCUCGGCUUAACCGAGGAAGUGCGCCGGAAACCAUAUGACUUGAGAAUCGGAGGGGAGCGUGGAAUUCCCAGUGUAGAGGUGAAAUUCGUAGAUAUUGGGAGGAACACCGGUGGCGAAGGCGACGCUCUGGACGAUUUCUGACGCUGAGACGCGACAGCGUGGGUAGCAAACAGGAUUAGAUACCCCAGUAGUCCCUGAGCGGGCUGGCAAGGCGCAU
rnacentral:rRNA from 1 species